AUGGUCCUUGUCUUCAGAAUUCUCACAGUGGGAGCAGGGAACUGGGAAGCAGGCAAUUAUCAAUCUGUGAGAACCAAAUUCCUCUUGGAGUGUAAGUUGAUUUUUUUUUUCUUCAUUAGACGCUUCUCCUUCCGUCCGGAACCAGAUCCUUAUUGUCAAGCUAAAUAUACUUUCUGUCCCACUGGCUCCCCUAUACCAGUGAUGAAGGAUGACGAUGUCAUUGAAGUCUUUCGAUUACAAGCCCCAGUGUGGGAAUUUAAAUAUGGAGACCUCCUGGGACACUUGAAAAUCAUGCAUGAUGCCAUUGGAUUCAGGAGUACUUUAACGGAGAAGAACUACACGAUGGAAUGGUAUGAACUCUUCCAACUUGGAAACUGCACGUUUCCCCAUCUCCGACCUGAAAUGAAUGCCCCUUUCUGGUGUAAUCAGGGAGCUGCCUGCUUUUUUGAAGGGAUUGAUGAUAAUCACUGGAAGGAAAAUGGGACGUUAGUUCUAGUAGCAACCAUAUCAGGAGGCAUGUUUAACAAAAUGGCAAAGUGGGUAAAACAGGACAAUGAAACAGGGAUUUAUUAUGAGACAUGGACUGUCCAAGCCAGCCCGAAAAAGGAGGCAGAGAAAUGGUUUGAAUCCUACGACUGCUCCAAAUUUGUGUUAAGGACCUAUGAGAAAUUGGCUGAACUUGGAGCAGACUUCAAGAAGAUAGAAACCAACUAUACAAGGAUAUUUCUUUACAGUGGAGAACCUACUUAUCUGGGAAAUGAAACAUCUGUUUUUGGGCCAACAGGAAACAAGACUCUUGCUUUAGCUAUAAAAAAAUUUUAUUACCCUUUCAAACCACAUUUGUCAACUAAAGAAUUUCUGUUGAGUCUCUUGCAAAUUUUUGAUGCAGUGGUUAUACACAGAGAGUUCUAUUUGUUUUAUAAUUUUGAAUAUUGGUUUUUACCUAUGAAAUCCCCUUUUAUUAAAAUAACAUAUGAAGAAAUCCCUUUACCUAACAGAAAAAACAGAACACUCUCUGGUUUAUAAAACCUUAAUUCUACUGCUUUUCUUUCUACCAGCACAUCAGUUUUUCAGGGAGUGGUUUUACAAGUGUGGGAUUUCUUAGGCCUUUCUUCCUUGGGGCAGAAAGCUAACAUACUUAUGGGGAGCAUU
rnacentral:lncRNA from 1 species